rnacentral:rRNA from 1 species
CCUACGGGCGGCAGCAGUCGGGAAUAUUGGUCAAUGGAGGAAACUCUGACCCAGCAAUACCGCGUGAAGGAUGAAGGUUUUCGGAUUUUAAACUUCUGUUAUUAAGGAAGAAAAAAAUGACGGUACUUUCUAAGUAAGCCCCGGCAAACUAUGUGCCAGCAGCCGCUGUGAGACAUAGGGGGCAAGCGUUGUCCGGAAGGACUGGGUGUAAAGGGUGUGUAGGUGGCUUAUUAAGUUAGAGGUGAAAGCCCGAAGCUCAACUUCUGAACUGCCUUUGAAACUGGUUGGCUUGAGUGUGGGAGAGGUUAGUGGAACUCCUAGUGUAGCGGUGGAAUGCGUAGAUAUAAGGAAGAACAUCGGAGGCGAAGGCGGCUAACUGGAACAUUACUGACACUGAAGCACGAAAGCGUGGGGAGCAAACAGGAUUAGAUACCCUAGUAGUC